rnacentral:lncRNA from 1 species
AUACUCUAAGCCCUACAAAUCUACUAAACUACGAUAAGAAUAGAGAUUUGCAAGAUUUUUAAAAGUGUCUCAACCUUGGAAUUCUCACUAGUAUUGCUUACAACCUUUCUCACGUUGCUAUUGUCACAGAGUGCUAUUUGUUUAUUAAUUAUAUUAUUACUUAAAUCCUCAAAAUCUUGUUGAUCCUAUGAAUUACUUACUACAAUAUUAUCGAAAAUAAAGUUUG